AGGGAUCCAGCGAUAGACCUUAAACAGUCUAGUGUUGUUCUUUUGAUUUGCACUGGGAUGCGAAAGAAAAAAAUCCCUGCGCUCUCUGUCUUUGUGGCAGCCCGCAUGGAGUGGGGGGACUACAUCU